GCAUGGGUGGUUCAGUGGUAGAAUUCUCGCCUGCCACGCGGGAGGCCCGGGUUCGAUUCCCAGCCCAUGCA
rnacentral:tRNA from 1 species